AUAGUGUCGCAAUAGUAAUUCAACCUAGUACGAGAGGAACCGUUGAUUCGCACAAUUAGUCAUCGCGCUUGGUUGAAAAGCUAGUGGCGCAAAGCUACCGUGCGUUGGAUUAUGAUUGAACGACUCUAAGUCAGAAUCCGGGCUAGAAGCGAUGCGUGUGCCUAUCGUUUGUUUGCCGACCAGUAGUAGGGGGCUUUGCCCCCUAUAGGCACGUGCCGUUGGUGAACCUUGUAAGGUGAAUAAGCCUUAUGAGACGCCUUGUGGCGCAAUUCCCAUCAAGCGACGGGUAGAAUCCUUUACAGACGACUUAAAUACGCGACGGGGUAUUGUAAGUGGCAGAGUGGCCUUGCUGCCACGAUCCACUGAGAUUCAGCCCUUGUCGCUUUGAUUC
rfam:Vigna angularis cultivar Jingnong 6 chromosome 9, whole genome shotgun sequence.